rnacentral:pre_miRNA from 1 species
GUAUCCACAGAGUGCAGGUGAUGUUCUAUUUAGUGACAGGAUACCACUAAAUAGAACAUCACCUGCACUCUUAGGAU